UAAUAGAGCCAAAAACCCUUGAUGGCCGUAGGAGGCUUGUGAAAGGUGCUGUCCCAACUCUGUUUGAGUGGAAUCACUUCACUGCUCAAACACCGCGGGCUAGUGUUUGGGAGAGAAGGGAGCGGCCCACUGAACCAGUCUCUCGGGAGGAGCAGGAAGAGCACAUCGAUGUCCGUGACCAUGAUUACUGCUCAACCCCUGAACCAGCUUCACUGGACAUGUCCUCUCAAGCUACAGAAGACAACUCCAAAACAGUGGAGGAUCUGCAGAAGCAACUGCAGGAGUUAAGAGUCCAGCGAGAGUUUUUUUUGCUGGCUCCGACGACAACAUCCGAUUCUAUACCAGAUUCCCGAGCUAUAACCACCUGAUGGCCUUCUGGUUUUUGAUUGAGCCUUCCAUUUAUAAAAUGGUUCAUGUUACAAGAGCGAUAUCAGCUGCCAAGAGGAAUGAAGAAGUGGUUACACACGCACGUCCAUCAACGAGACAGCUGCUUCAGCCAAUUGACGAGUUCUUCCUUUUUCUCUGCUUCCUGUCGGUGGGUUUGAAAGAGAGGGACCUUGCAAACCGCUUCAACGUACACCAGUCCACUGUGAGCCGCAUCAUUGCAACAUGGACGAGUUUUCUUACAACUUUAUUGGGGUCACAGUGCAUCUGGCUUACACCUGCAGAAGUUCAAGCCCACCUCCCAGAGGCAUUCAAAGAUUUCCCAGACACACAUGUGAUCCUGGAUUGCACAGAGCUGAGGUGUCAAACACCAUCCUCACUCCUCCUCCAAAGUUAAAUGUAUUCUACAUACAAAUCUCACUGCACCAUGAAAGCCCUGGUUGGCAUAGCCCCACAUGGCGCAGUGACAUUUGUUUCCAGUCUGUAUGGUGGUUCUGUCAGCGACAAGGAGAUUUUCAAACAAUCUGGAAUAGCUGCGUUGUUGACUGAAAACAUGGCAGUGAUGGUAGAUAAGGGCUUCCUGAUCAGCGAUUACUGCAAAUGCAAAGUGUACUGCCCACCUUUUCUGUCAAAGCAGAAGCAAAUGCCAGCCUAUCAGGUGAGGGAGACACAGGCCAUUGCCAGACUGAGGGUUCAUGUGGAGCGUGUCAUUAGGAGGAUAAAAGAGAACACACUUUUUGAUGGUGUCAUCCUCCUGUCCCAUGCCUACAACAUCAACCAACUGUUUGCAGUAGCAUGUAUGCUGUCAAACUAUCAGAACAAAGCACUGGUCAAGAAAUGGGUGAAAUAAGACAAGCUGAUGACACCUGUGCAGGUAGCUGUGAUUAAGCUGGGUGAGCACACCGUAAUCCCGUGUUGCCUGACACACGCUAGUGUUUUGUUUGAAUAAAUGGUAAAUAGCAAAUUA